AUAAAAUAGACGCAUUCAGGCGCCGAAAGGCAUGAUAGGGAAUCCUGUUAGAUUCAGGAGCGGUCCCGCCGCUGUAACCGGGGAUAAAAACCGACUAAGCCACUGCCCAAGAGGGUGGGAAGGCCGGUGAGUAAAGUGAACCGGGAGCCAGAAGACCUGCCUGAAAGACUCGUAACGC
rnacentral:ncRNA from 2 species